AAAAAAAAAAAAAUAACAAGGUCUCCGUAGGUGAACCUGCGGAAGGAUCAUUAC
rnacentral:rRNA from 1 species